rnacentral:snRNA from 1 species
GUCAGAUGACUAUUACGUGAAAAA